UCGAGAAUCUUCCGCAAUGGGCUAACGCCUGACGGAGCGACGCCGCGUGAUGGAUGAAGUCCUUCGGGACGUAAACAUCUUUUAUGCGCUAGAAAGUUUAUUGAUCAACGCAUGAAUAAGGGGCUCCUAACUCUGUGCCAGCAGGAGCGGUAAUACAGAGGCCCCAAGCAUUAUCCGGAAUCACUGGGCGUAAAGGGUGUGUAGGCGGCUUUGCUAGUCCUUCGUGAAAGGUCUUGGGCUUAACCCAGGAACCGCGGGGGAAACGGCAUGGCUUCGAGGAUGCGAGAGGUAGAGGGAACUCAAGGUGUAGGGGUGAAAUCCGUUGAUAUCUUGGGGAACACCAAAUGCGAAGGCACUCUACUGGCGCACUCCUGACGCUGAGACACGAAAGCGUGGGUAGCGAACGGG
rnacentral:rRNA from 1 species